UACAGAGGUCCCGAGCGUUGUUCAGAUUCACUGGGCGUAAAGGGUGCGCAGGUGGCAUUGUAAGUUUGAUGUGAAAUCUCCGGGCUUAACCCGGAAAAGGCAUUGAAUACUGCGGUGCUGGAGGUUUGGAGGGGGGACUGGAAUUCUCGGUGUAGCAGUGAAAUGCGUAGAUAUCGAGAGGAACACCAGUGGCGAAGGCGAGUCCCUGGACAACACCUGACACUGAGGCACGAAAGCUAGGGGAGCAAACAGG
rnacentral:rRNA from 1 species